rnacentral:rRNA from 1 species
ACGAACGCUGGCGGCGUGCUUAACACAUGCCAGUCGAACGGAAAGGCCCCUUUGGGGGUACUCGAGUGGCGAACGGGUGAGUAACACGUGAGUAACCUGCCCUUGACUUCGGGAUAACUUCAGGAAACUGGGGCUAAUACCGGAUAGGAAUCCUUGCUGCAUGGUGGGGGUUGGAAAGCUUCGGCGGUUUUGGAUGGACUCGCGGCUUAUCAGCUUGUUGGUGGGGUAGUGGCUUACCAAGGCCUUGACGGGUAGCCGGCCUGAGAGGGCGACCGGCCACAUUGGGACUGAGAGACGGCCCAGACUCCUACGGGAGGCAGCAGUGGGGAAUAUUGCACAAUGGGCGGAAGCCUGAUGCAGAAACGCCGCGUGCGGGAUGACGGCCUUCGGGUUGGAAACCGCUUUCAGCAGGGGCGAAGCUUGUGGUGACGGUACCUGCAGAAGAAGCACCGGCUAACUACGUG